rnacentral:rRNA from 1 species
CGGGAAACCGGAGCUAAUACCGGAUAAUAUAUUGAACCGCAUGGUUCAAUAGUGAAAGACGGUUUUGCUGUCACUUAUAGAUGGAUCCGCGCCGCAUUAGCUAGUUGGUAAGGUAACGGCUUACCAAGGCAGCGAUGCGUAGCCGACCUGAGAGGGUGAUCGGCCACACUGGAACUGAGACACGGUCCAGACUCCUACGGGAGGCAGCAGCCC